CGUAGGUGGCAAGCGUUGUCCGGAUUUAUGGGUUUAAAAGGGUGCGUAGGCGGUCCUAUAAGUCGAGUGGCCUGAAACUAUCCCGGCUUAACCGGGAGGGUGGCAUUGAUACUGUAAGACUUGAGUAAAGUUGAGGUUGGCGGAAUUGACGGUGUAGCGGUGAAAUGCUUAGAUAUCGUCAAGAACACCUAUUGCGAAGGCAGCUAACUAAGCUUUAACUGACGCUGAGGCACGAAAGUGUGGGGAUCAAACAGGAUUAGAUACCCUGGUAGUCCACACUGUAAACGUUGAUUACUCGCUGUUGGCGAUACACAGCCAGCGGCUUAGCGCAAGCGAUAAGUAAUCCACCUGGGGAGUACGCCGGCAACGGUG
rnacentral:rRNA from 1 species